CCUACGGGCGGCUGCAGUGAGGAAUAUUGGUCAAUGGGCGCGAGCCUGAACCAGCCAAGUAGCGUGAAGGAUGACUGCCCUCCGGGUUGUAAACUUCUUUUAUAAGGGAAUAAAACGAGGCACGUGUGCCCUUUUGCAUGUACUUUAUGAAUAAGGAUGGGCUAACUCCGUGACAGCAGCCGCGGUAAUACGGAGGAUACGAGCGUUAUCCGGAUUUUUUGGGUUUAAAGGGAGCGUAGAUGGGUUGUUAAGUCAGUUGUGAAAGUUUGCGGCUCAACCGUAAAAUUGCAAUUGAUACUGGCAGUCUUGAGUACAGUUGAGGUAGGCGGAAUUCGUGGUGUAGCGGUGAAAUGCUUAGAUAUCACGAAGAACCCCGAUUGCGAAGGCAGUUUACUAAACUGUGACUGACAUUGAUGCUCGAAAGUGUGGGUAUCAAACAGGAUUAGAUACCCCGGUAGUC
rnacentral:rRNA from 1 species